rnacentral:misc_RNA from 1 species
CAUUCAAUUUCUUUAUUAAUUUUUAAUAAAUAAUUUAUAUUAAAUAUAAAAAUAUAUUUAAAUAAAAAAAAGACGACAAGACCCUAUUAAAUUUUACUUAUAGUUUAGCUGGGGAAGCUUUUCAAUUAAAAUUUUUUAAAUUAAAUAAAUAAAAAUCUAAUAAAAUUAAAAUUUUAAUAAAUUACUAUAGGGAUAACAGCAUUAUAUCUUUUAAAAGUUCAUAUUAAAAAAGAUGAUUGUGACCUCGAUGUUGAAUUAUAUUUUCUAUAUCAAAUGCAAUAAUUAUAAAAGUAGAUCUGUUCGAUCUUUAAAAUAUUACAUGAUUUGAGUUCAAACCGGUGUAAACCAGGUUGGUUUCUAUCUUUUUAUAUAUUUUUCCAGUACGAAAGGACAAAAAAAUCUUUAUUUUAAUAAAUUAGCAAAUAAAUGCAUUAGAUUUAGAAUCUAAAUAUAUUAAUAAUU